rnacentral:rRNA from 1 species
AAAAACCUUACCCACCUUUGACAUGUACGGAAUCCUUUAGAGAUAGAGGAGUGCUCGAAAGAGAGCCGUAACACAGGUGCUGCAUGGCUGUCGUCAGCUCGUGUCGUGAGAUGUUGGGUUAAGUCCCGCAACGAGCGCAACCCUUGCCAUUAGUUGCUACGAAAGGGCACUCUAAUGGGACUGCCGGUGACAAACCGGAGGAAGGUGGGGAUGACGUCAAUCCCUCAUGGUCCUCAUGGCCC